CAGCCGCCGCGGAAUACAGAGGGUGCGAGCGUUAAUCGGAUUUACUGGGCGUAAAGCGUGCGUAGGCGGCUUCUUAAGUCGGAUGUGAAAUCCCUGAGCUUAACUUAGGAAUUGCAUUCGAUACUGGGAAGCUAGAGUAUGGGAGAGGAUGGUAGAAUUCCAGGUGUAGCGGUGAAAUGCGUAGAGAUCUGGAGGAAUACCGAUGGCGAAGGCAGCCAUCUGGCCUAAUACUGACGCUGAGGUACGAAAGCAUGGGGAGCAAACAGGAUUAGAUACCCGUGUAGUCCCUGUCUCUUAUACC
rnacentral:rRNA from 1 species